rnacentral:lncRNA from 10 species
GCCAGUGAAAGUUUUUAAACAGAAAAUGACAAGAGCUGACUUUGUUCCUCCUAAUAUUUGUCUCCUUGAAGACUUGGAUGGACAUUUAUCUUUGCAUUUUUUUCACUGCACCCCAUGCAGAGAAUAGGAAGACUUCUAAGAUGAAUUGAAAACACAGACCUGAUUCUAAGGAGGUUGGAUUUUGGCAGUUUGGCUAGCCUGUGGAAAAUGCUUCCAGAGUGUUUCCCUGUGGGAACCACCUCAGCUAAAGAUGGGCUGAUGUUCGUGAAAUCUGCAUCCCUUGCGCGGCUCUGCCAGCUUUCUGAACCCAAGCAAAUCGGGGGAGAAUAAAAUUCCUCAGCCUUUUACAGAUCAAGUUUGUCCUCCCCUUCACUAGACAGUGAUGCCUUUGCCUUUUGUGGAAGCAAGUGGCAAUCCUAUGGUCCCUGGGAAUAUGUAUCAUCCAGUUCAUUGUGUGUAUCCCAGAAGGAAAAGGAAGAAGAGGACAAGAAGGAGAAGAAAAUGAACACAUUUUUCAGAAGGGAGAAAACAGAGUUUUUUGAGAGAAGAAACAUCCCUUACAAGUGGGCAGAAGAUACUGAUAUCCAGAAAGAAGCAUUUGAUUCUUAGGCCCCUGGGGUUACCUGUGAUGCAAACAAUAUAGGGAUGGCCACUUUAAAGCAUACCAGAUGAGAAGCAGCACUUGGGUUGAGAACACCAGCGGGUGUCUCUGUCAGCAGCAGCUAGGCCUGUGUGUCUCAUUAGCAUGAGGGACACAUAUGGAAUCUUGGCAUUUCCCCAAAUACUGUCAGGGGUUGGUCCACAUGACAGAACCAGCCCAGGAUGAUAGGGAAGCUGUGAUGGUUUUCUCCAAAUGCAUGGAUUCAGAACUGAGUGGAAGGUAUCUUCCCCACAGUGAAGCCUUGCUUAAAGAGGAUUCUCCUUCCCGCCUUCUGCUGGCAUUACAGCAUUGCAUAGGGAAGCAGAACUCCUAGCAUUAGGAUUAAACCCUCCUGGGUUUGAAUCCUUGAUCUAACUGCCAUGUUAAAUCAUCUAACUGCCAUGUCAAAUCAUCUAACUGAUUUGAGCAAGCAACUUACCUCCUCCGAGUCUAUUCCUUCAUUUGAAUGUGCAGAUAAUAAUAGCACUUGCCUCACUGGGUGUUAUUAAGGUUAAGUAAGAGAAAUAAAAAACAUGUGGCAGUUGGUCAUUUAAAUUCUUGUUCUUGGUGGCAAAGGCUGCUAAUAUCGUCUUGUUCUCCAUGCUCCAUUAUGCUUGUCUUCUUAGUUAGGGUGGGGAGUUUAGGGUUAGGGUUAAGAAUAGGGCUGUAGCCUCGUCUUCUGUAAUAAGAGAAUCUCUGAUUUUGAAACUGCUAAUAAAGACUACAUUUCCCAGUCUCCUUGGAGUUGGAUGUGGCUGUAUAAGUAAGUUAUGGCCAAUGAAGGACGGCGGCAAAAAAAUUUGAGGUCAUUUCUAUCUCUAUGCACCCCUGAAUACCUAGAGCUUUGAGGUCCUGUCCACCAUGGACAAAUACUGCCAUCAUCUGUUUGCCGAUUUGCAAGUCAAUCUAAACUAUGCUGUGUUUAUUCCAUUUUAAGUAGUAAAUGCUCUUGUCAGGAUUCAUAUAUAUAAUAUAGAUAAACAUUUUAAUGAUAAUGUUAUAAAAAUAACAUAAUGCUACAUAUCAUCAAAACCUUACAAGUUUAUAUUCUUCUGUUCUGUUAAAUAUGAGAUGAUGUAUUACCAAAAAGAAGAACCAUUUGUAUGUAAUACUUCCAGGAUGCCUCUUCCUUUUCUUCUUUCCUGGAG